AUUGAACGCUGGCGGCAGGCCUAACACAUGCAAGUCGAACGAGUGGCGGACGGGUGAGUAACGUCUGGGAAAUUGCCCGAUGGAGGGGGAUAACUACUGGAAACGGUAGCUAAUCCCGCAUACCAUCAGAUGUGCCCAGAUGGGAUUAGCUUGUUGGUGGGGUAACGGUUCAACAAGGCGACGAUCCCGAGCUGGUCGGAGAGGAGGACCAGCAACACUGGAACGGAGACACGGUCCAGACGCCUACGGAAGGCAGCAGUGGGGAAUAUUGCACAAUGGGCGCAGGCCUGAUACAGCCAUGCCGCGUGGAUGAAGAAGGCCUUCGGGUUGUAAAGUACUUUCAGCGGGGAGGCGUUACCCGCAGAAGAAGGAACGGCUAACUCCGUGCCAGCCGCCGCGGUAAUUC
rnacentral:rRNA from 1 species